UGGGGAAUUUUGGACAAUGGGGGAAACCCUGAUCCAGCCAUCCCGCGUGUGCGAUGAAGGCCUUCGGGUUGUAAAGCACUUUUGGCAGGAAAGAAACGUCAUGGGUUAAUACCCCGUGAAACUGACGGUACCUGCAGAAUAAGCACCGGCUAACUACGUGCCAGCAGCCGCGGUAAUACGUAGGGUGCAAGCGUUAAUCGGAAUUACUGGGCGUAAAGCGUGCGCAGGCGGUUCGGAAAGAAAGAUGUGAAAUCCCAGAGCUCAACUUUGGAACUGCAUUUUUAACUACCGGGCUAGAGUGUGUCAGAGGGAGGUGGAAUUCCGCGUGUAGCAGUGAAAUGCGUAGAUAUGCGGAGGAACACCGAUGGCGAGGGCAGCCUCCUGGGAUAACACUGACGCUCAUGCACGAAAGCGUGGGGAGCAAACAGG
rnacentral:rRNA from 1 species